GGGGUCCACCCUCAGACUGGCCCUGCGGGAGAGGCCACGCCGGCGCCGUGCCCCCGGCUUUCGUGCCCUCUGUGCACGGGCAGAGCACGCGGUCCAGGCGCUGCGUCACAGCCGGGGCUCCCGGGUCACAGCCGGGCCCCCGCGGGGCCGUGCCGUCCUCCGCCGAGAGGGCCAGGGCGGAAACCCUGCGCAGGCCCCGGUCUCGAGCUCCUGCCUCCCUGAACGAGUCGCCACGGCAACCCCCGGGGGCUCACAACAAGGACUACACAGCCCUGGGCAGCCCAGAGAGGCAGACGGCUCCUUCUCCCGUGCCAGGGAAGGUUCAGGCGUCGCAGCUUCCUGCUCCUCGGACGCGGGCGGAGGAAGAAGCAAGUCGCCACGAGGAGGAGGGUGUUGAACGUGUGCAUGCAACAACCGCCCGUGUUGCUUAAAACCAUGCAGCCCUUCGGGAAAGACAGGUCCCGCUACAUGGAAGGCCUUUUUGCUUCGCUGAGUGACGGAUGGAUUUCGAGCUGCCCAGGUGAGCCCAAAGCCAGACUUGGGAACGGCUGUCUGAGACCCGUCCCCCCAAGCAGACCGCGAACCUAAGGAAAGAGCGAGGGUGGUUUGCUCGGCAGGUCGUCCGGGAAGUGCCACCAGGGCGCUGGGAGACAAGAGGGGAGGAGAGGACGCCGAUUAACCGAGGUAUCCAGCGGUGACCGACACGGGCACCUGCCGCAUCCCACGGGGGCCUUCGGCGCCGGGGCAGAGCACACUGCAGUGUCGUCUCAGCCGAGGGCGGGAGCCUGGGGAGUCCCUCUGCCCCUCCCUCCGUGGUCGGCUGAGGGCUGCUCUCCCUCACGCAGGGACGGCCAGAGGCAAGAACCCCUCAGACUUCGGGGGGCUGCCUGUCUUAGGGGAACACACAGCCCGGCAGAGCAGCGACCUCACUCUCAGAGCCCUGCUGGCUCCCCGAGGGAACGGCUGUGGCGUCCAGGUACGAGCACUUCUCUGCUGGACGCCGAACUAGGUCGCCAAUGCGCGGCAAGGCGGAAAACCCCUCCCUGAGUUGAGACACUCACGUGCUUCCACCACCCAGAGCCCUUCCCUCGGCACGGAGACCUCCUCCUCGGAUAAGCUUACAGAUAAGCUUACAGACGCCGUGUGGCGUUGCUCACUUUUGGAAAAGAAAAGUCCCCCGGCUUACCGGGAAGCCCGGCCCCACCCAUCAGGGGCCCGAGAGAGGAAGGAGGCCGGCGGCCCCUGUCCGCAGAGCGGCUGCCCGCUGGGCCGGCAGAGACGGCGCGGCCUGACGAAUCUGCUGCCUGAAAUGGAGACUCAUCCUGCCUCCGGGCCGAACGCUUGCUCCCCUGGACUGAAACUGAGACGCCCUG